AGAUGAUAUUUUUUUAUUUUGAAAAUUAUGAUUGCUUGUUGGAUAUUAUACAUAUUAUAUAAUAUGUAUAAUAUCCAACAAGCAAUCAUAAUUUCUUGCAAAGCGAUGAGAAUUCACU
rnacentral:pre_miRNA from 1 species